rnacentral:misc_RNA from 1 species
CCUGCUUCUCUUUCAGUCUCAGCCUGAAUCUCUCUGCGAAUUUUGGAGAAAUCAUAGAACCGCUUGCCAGGCAUGUGUAGAAACUCGCCCCACUCAGUGUCAUCAUCAUCAGGAAUAGGCGACCUAUUCUCCAGCAUCAAAAUGAGUGGUCUUCGAGUGCAAAUAUCACAGCCACGAGGAAGAAAGUCGCGGCCAACAAGAGCUUCAAGCACGCUAGACUUCCCACUGCUCUGACUACCAACCACAGCCACCUGUGGCAGCGAUAUCUGUAAAACUUCGCCGCCUCCGCUAAAAGGAGCAAUGAUGUCCUGUAGCUUAUUGAUUAUGGGAAUGAAAGAUGAACCGAUAGUCGAAACCGGUUUCACAGUGCCACUGGGAUUUGCCUCCUUCCCCAUUGUAGUGACACAGAGAAAAUAGAAAAGACUAAAGAAGCAGAAAGCAGGAUUUUGAUGGAGUAGAGAUGAUAGUUAAAUGCUUGAUGUUGAAGAAAAAUAUUAAGAAGAAAAUAAAUAAAGAAAAAGGAGAUGCUCUUUGCUAACUUU